CAUAGAAGGAGACCCCACGGCCGGCUGCCCCGCGUUCAGCUGGUCUUCACAGAGCCUGGGAGGGGGCAGAAAACAGACGGGUCUGGAGAGGCGGACCCCGCGCGUCCCGUGCGUGGACACGUGCCGCCGAACCACACCCUGACCCGGAACCAGAACCGGACCCUGACCCUGACCUCGACCGGCCCGGAUCUUCUCGCCGUCCGCGCGUCUGCGCGAGAACCGAGGCGUACCGAGCUCCACGCGCGAGGCACUGCGACACUCCCCACGGUGGCGCAAGAGCAUAGUUCACAGGGAAACUAACGGCACUAAUAACACUUCAUAAAUCAGAGAUGAACCUCGUCCCAGACACGGGGUGGCAGUGCGCUUCUCCGCGGCAUUAGAAACACAGCUGAACCCUAUACAGAGUCACGAGGGAGCUGGAGCCCAUCUCGGAAAGCAACAGGCACAAGGCUGGGUCCAGCGCGGGGCACACAGACACACACUGGCACCAGGGCCGGCUGUCCCAGACAGCGCUUCGGCUGUUGGCAAGGCUCUGGACUGUGGGAGGAAACCCACGCCAACACGGGGAGAACAUAUCAACUCCACACAGACUGCACCCCUGGUCUGGAAUCGAACCCAGACCAGACCAGACCCAGACUUGGCCAGCUUCCUCGCUAGCUAGUUGGCUCCAGUGUUCUGAUUAUCUUGCAGAGCCAUGAAGAAUAAACAGCGCAGAGUGAACAAGGGUUGGUGAUGCACACAAGGGGAGACGUGGAAAUGAAGAAGGCAGGAGCACCACCUCAAUCCCCAGAGCAGGAGAGUGCUCUCGUUUUAAAUCGACCUCUCCAGCCUGCCCCUCACUCCCUGUGCUGCUGUUGGAUAUUCUUAUCUGAACUGCUUGCCUUUUAGGACCUGUGGGAGGCAGCUGAUCAGGAAUCAUUUUGACUCUGCAGACAGAGUAUUGCAUUUUGUUCUUUGCACUUCAGUACUGAGCCUGCUGAGAGAUACAAUAAGCAUCGAUUGCGUUCCUCUUAUCUGUCUCUCUUUGCUGUGCUUUCUGCACCUGCUGGGCCACCGCAUUUCCUGGUCGACAGCAAUAUGUGUGGCAGCGCCCUGCUGUCCGCUGGUAUAGCUGUGCUCCCAGUCCUCUCCAGAUUCCUGCAGCCGGGACAUGCUGGUGACUUCCUGUUUAUGUGCCAGACUGUGCAACCUUGAUUGAUUUUGCACAGGUGCCCCUCAGAGCCUUGGCAUAGCCCAACCUGGGCUGUGUGACAAUGAAGAGCAAUGCUAUUUUUGUCUCAGUACUGACCGUAAUCUGAAUGAUAUUCUAUUGUAUUUCAUUAUACUGCAAGAUGAGCGUGAUGCUGUGUCCUUUUGGAAGGUAAGAUGACUGUUCAGUAGGAUACAUUUUCAAACUCUUAAAAUCCCAAAUUGGAUUAACUCACAAACACGAAACGGCCGUCCUUUGUGGAACAGACAUAAAUGGACUUUAUAUGCAUCAGGUAUUACAGCUGAUAGCUGACAGCAUUCCAGGAAGAUACAAUCACUAAGUGCUGGCUUCCAGUUUCACCUGGCCUGAAAGCAGGCUUUAGAUGAACUCACACGGUGUUUGAGCCUUGGAGUCUCGAAUGAGAGAGCGCAUCAUUCCAAACAUGCAGUUCAGCUUUUCGGGAUAUUCCGGUCCCCACCGUUCCACAACCUUGCCCUGCCCAGCUCAGUAUUGCUUCAUUAGCUGCUAAUUUCUGCAAUUAUGCACAGCAGCGGAGGAGUGCAGUCCAUCACAGCGCUGGUGCCCGAGCCCGGGAGGGUGGCGAGGAAUGUGAGCAGAUCCCUGGCUCAGAGGGAGGCGGAAUCCGAUCGUUCUGCUUUCUGGGAGAUAAUCCGGCACGCACGGAAUGUGGCGGCCUCGCCUGAUCCCAUCAUCCCUCUGGCAGCCUGAGACGGGAUUUAUCCUCCUCCUCCGCCUCCCCCUGCCCGGGUCUCUGAGUGACGCCGGAGCCCCAGCGGGACUCCAGCGCACCUCCCUGCUCACAGCGCAGUCGCCUGCUGGAGCUGCUGGGUGGGACUGGGAGCACAGGGCUCCUCCAGGACCAGACACAGCCCAGCACAGCUCUGCCCUCGUUUUGUACUGCAUAUUUACGACCUUGGAAUAUGCUAAUUCUUCUGUUUUUAUUUAAAGAGCCUGUUCUAAAUGAGAUUGUGUUUUCCCCCCACUUUCUUUCCAGUGUGUUUGUAUCAUGAAAUUACAAAAUGCUUCUAGUUGGAUGUGUCACACAGCUUGUUUACUCUCCAGGAGUAUUCUCUGAUCCCCACAUCAUUUGCAAUUAUUCUGAAUGUGGUUUUAUUUUUUUUCACGGACGAAGGACCAGCUGCUGCUGUCGCUGGCCCGAUCCCUGCGCCCGGCUUCCUCGGCCGGUGGAGACAGCAGGGCUGCAGCUGAGAAGAGGCUGAUCUGAGGAAGAGCUGAUUAUCUGUCGGUAGCGUUGCAGUGCUCACAUUCAUGGAAAGGCUCUCCUUCGAACCCGGGGCAGAGUUAAGAGUAGUGCAGCCCCAGCCACCACCAGCGCAGGUGGGCAGUGGCAGCAGGGGACUCAGCUGUCCACCCCAGCGGCCAGCGCUGUCCACUCUGGACCUCAGGGGUCAGCACUGUCCACUCCAGACUCAGGACCUCAGCGGCCGGCGCUGUCCACCUCAGCUGCUCUCUGGACCUCAGCGGCCGGCGCUGUCCACUCCAGCUGCUCUCUGGACCUCAGCGGCCGGCGCUGUCCACUCCAGCUGCUCUCUGGACCUCAGUGGCCGGCGCUGUCCACCUCAGCUGCUCUCCAAACUGUGUCAUCAAGCGCCAGAUUGUGAAAACAACCUCCGGCACACACGGAGCCCCUCUCCAGAAGGUGCUGUCAGCUCCCAGCACUUCAGGGGUUCAGGUUACUUGUAAACCUGUAUUCAGAGCUGGAAACACAGUUUCAUUUUGUUUCUAAAGGUCUAAUUAAGCAAAUUGCCAGUGUGACUGAGUGAUGGAGUAAUUGAAACCGCAGUAGGAAGGGAAUGCGGAAGACAGCGGGAGCCCCUGCACUAGGGCUGGGGAAACCCCGGAGACCGGAGCCGAACCGGGCCGGGUCACCAGUCCCUGGACUGGACCUGGGGGCAGGCUGUCGGCCAGACCUGAGGCUCACCGCAGUCAAUCACAGAACUACAGAGUCGGUUCUGGAGAAUUAGAACAGUAGAGACAUAAACGGGAGUAAAAAACAGGGCAAAUGAUAGUAAUUGAACAAGCAAUAGAGAGAAAAUUGCUGUCUGAUGUGCGCCAAUCUAAUUACGGUAUGCUUGUAAUUAGUGUUAAGUAUUUAUCUUUUAAGUUAAGGAAUUCAUUAGAGGAUUAUUAAUGACCUCCCUCUCUAGUUGUGCGCAGUACACCGAGAACAUGGCUGUUCCUCAGCCGUGCCCGCCCUGGGGGUGUGUUUCGCCCGACGCGCUCCGAUGCGUCAUCCGGGAGCAGACCCGGCCGCCCUGCACGAACACCCGGAUCGGGACGUGGAGGCCCGUUUCUGGGCUAAGAAAACCCGUUCUCCUGCCCUCGGUUCGGUUUCGCACGCCGAGAGCGACGCCGCGCAGGGCUGUGUGGAGAGGGCAGGUUCCCGGGGGGCAGAAACAGCUCGGUAUUCAACAGGGGGCACUACCUCAUCUAACCAGCAGGGGGCAUCUCAUCAGCCCAGCGGACGGAGUGGCUCUGCGGUACUGAGCCCUGGUAUACAGUCCUGUGGUUGUGCUCUGCACACGACGAAACGUGGCGCCCUAUACAGAAUUAAAAGAGUGAAGGAUUAAUUGAGCUAUUAGUGUCGGGAAAAUGUCCUGGUACAUUGCUGUUUUCAAAUUUGUGAAUUUGUAGGGCGCACCUCAAAUUUCGUUUUGCCAUGGAAAGUAAGGAAACGUUCUUAUUUUUUAGAAUUCGUGUCUGGUUUUACCCAGCCUGCCUGAAACGCCGCCCCACGGCCGCCGGUCUCAGACUCGCUCCUCUCCGGCCCGCCUCGCCACCGCGAACACGAGGCGCAGACCAGCUGGGGUUCUCGGCAGAGCGACAGCCCGGUCCGGGCCUGAGGGCCGGAGAGCGGCUCCACCACACGCACACAACACCAGCGAUCAGGGACGCUUCGCUUCCUACAAAACGGCAAUUGAUAUUCGAGACACAGCCAGGACUGCUUAUACGACAGCCAAUGGGAGGCUAGAAGACCAGCUCAGCGACGUGUGGGGAUCACAGGAAUGUUCUUUUUCUGGCGUGCAGUCAGAUGAGUCUCCCCCUGACAGUGUCAAGGUGUUCGGGGCAUUGCUGCUGUUACAGGAAACAGGCAGAGCUCCUCGCUUCGCUUUAAUAAACACAGCGCCGCGCUGACAGAAGCCCUGUCGGGGUACAGACUGGUUCCCUGGGCGCUACCUGCCGCUCCAGGUGGGUAACCUGCGCACCACGUGCUCGGUGCGAUACAGCAAAGGGAGUGACAUAUUGUAGUGCUGUGUCUCGACCCUGUAUUUAAUGAAGAACGGGCAUCAUACACCUUUACACCGCUCUCACUCUCGUAUGCCCACAAACAAGGCUUCUUCAUGCAGUGUGAUUCGAUUUGCACAGGGCUGAUGGAAAACGUACUUAAAAUGACAAUCCUGAAUCGAUGCUCGCUUAGUCGAUGGAUUCUGCUGCUGCCCGAUGGUUGAUAAGGGCUUUGCGCACGUCAGCACAGACUCCAAUCGACACCUCCUGCGCCCAGCUGGCGCGGCCGCUGCAGGUGGACAGUCCGGCCGAGGCCGUUUCCCUCACGGGAUUAAGAAAGUCUCUACCAGCGGGGUCCCCCUCUCUCACUUCCCGAGCGGGGUGCGAGGGGAUGUACCCCUGCAAGCCUGUGGAGGCGAAUGAGCUUCCCGGUCCCCAGGGACAGCUCGUGCGCCCGGCGUUGCGGGACGAGGGAGGGCGCGAGGCUGCCUUGGCAACGCUCCGAGCGUGUUCCUCGCGACUGGCGGCCGACGCGCGCCGCUUCCCCUCCUAGCAGCGCUCACACGCACCGGUGACAUACUGCACACCUUACAAAACAAACAAACAAACUAACAAACUAACUAACUAACAAAAACGAAUGGGGUGUCACGGAUGCAUCGUUCUUCGCCCUUCGCUUUGCAUGCUGCAGGUAGAUACAGGACGAAGGGCCUGUGGGAAAAAACGGUGCAUUUCGCCGCAAACCAAUCACAGCCCUGCACGAGCGCGUCUUGUCGCACACGCACGGGAGCAGCGGGGCUGCGCGCGAGAGGGGCCCAGGCCGGCCUCGCGGCCGACAGGAACCCGCCCUUUCCCCCAGAACAACUUUAAACCGUCGUCACGAAUUCAAAUAAUCAAAGACAUCGUCAUUGUGAUUACUAUGAUUACUAUUAUGAAACAGCAAAGGCCUCUGGGAAAGCCGGCAGCGUCGCGGAGCGGAGAGGGCGGAGAGUUGCGGAGGGAGUUCGGGUCCGAACCUCUCGCGGGGCACCUGAAUCCCGGACUCUGGACCGGAACCAGGGGUGGGAGAAGUAAGAGCGUCACGUUUAUUCGACGGUACCGCGGGGCUGCGCUGACCGGGCGGCGUGAGGCCCGCUAUUCCGAGACGUGACGUGGUCCCGUCGAGUAUAAACAAACGCGCCUCCGGUUUCGCUGGCUGUGGCUCGGCUCGGCUCGGCUCGGCUCCAGACCCGUUUCUAAACCUUCCAAGCCGAGGACACACGGACGAAGCCCAGAAAUAGGAAAUGAGCAAGCCUGCCGCUUCUCGGGGUCGGAGGGGACAGGCCCUGGUCAGACCUCACUGGAGGAGGAGCAGCAGGGAGCCGCACGAAUGCAGGCUGGAGAGACAGACCGGAUCAAUCCGGACGGACAGCGCUGCGGAUCUGGCUCCCGAUCCUGUCAGCGAGAAGCCCAGGGGACCAGGGCGGAGGGGUCCUGGCAGCAUGAGUGCAGGAACUGAAAUGAUACAGUGAGCUGGCAAGCUUGACGACUGUCCCGGGACGACAGGGAAGCGAAAUGGAGGACAGGCCUUCUGCUCCCAAGAGGCUCAGCUGAAAUACUCGGUGCAGAAAGAUACAGAAAGAUUCAUUCCCUUUCACUGUACUGCACACAGAUUGCAUCCGCACAAGGAUUUUUAGUUUUAAUGAAAAAAGGAAAGCAUUCCAGUACUGGCAGGAGAGAACAGUUUCAGGCAAGGGAUCUGAACCUGAGAACUGGUGCUGAGCUCUAAGGUAAGCACUCAUAACUACAAAGGGGGGCGAGAGUCUGUGUGUGCGAUUCCUGCUGGCAACAUUCCUCGUUUUCAUUCGUGUCGGAGGAGCGAGGGGCGUGAGCAGCGUCUAUCCAGCCACAUCCGGCCGACUCGUUCAAUCCGACCGGCCGCCAGGGGACCAGCUCCGACGGAACGCUCCGCUCGGCCGACCCGGCUGCACGGCCCACCACUCCUGUGGUGCCACAUCAGCGGCAAACAGCGGGCACGGCCACUACCUUCACACUCCCAGCUGGCCAAAGCUAAUUGCUGCUGUAUGCACCGGCCUGGGCAUGAUUCCACCCCAUCGCACCCCACCCGACAGAGUGAUCACUGUUUGCUCUACAUGACCCUAAAGGGUAGCUUCACAUCCCUUCCCUCGAUCUCUGUUGCCCCCUCCCUAAAGAAUAAGGCUUCCGGCGGUGCCCAUGGGAAAGCACAGUACGAUUCCGAACUGCAUCGCCAUCUUUAUCCCAGAGAGAAAGCGAGCUGCGGUCAAUGUAGCACAAUUCCUGGGAAUUCUGGAUCUGCUUCCCUCACAGGGAUCCCACUGAGCUGACAGGUGUUACACUCACUAUCCCAUUGGCCUGUGUGACUCAGAGAUACAGUAUUUUGCAUCGAGUGGAAAAAAAAUGUUACACUGUUUGUAAGAUGCAAAAUAUGUAGCUGAGCCACGGUAGGUUCAAUAUCUUAUUACAUCCCUUCCAGGGUCCACGGAUUUCUGAUGCUUAGGGUAUCAAAUACAGUUUCAGUGAUCAUGUCUGCAUCUGUACGGAAAGGGUCAGCAGUGUGGCGCAGAGGUCAGGGGUCUAGAGGUGUAACAGGAAGGCUGUGACUUCUAAUCCCAGGUGAGACACUGCUGUUGUACCUUUGAGCUAAACCUGCAGUGUCCCAGUAGAAAAUCCAGCUGUAUAAAUGGGUGCCAAUGUAAGCCUCUUUGAAUAAAAACAUUAGACAAAUAAAUUAGUAGUUAGUUCAGACCUAGUGGUCACCGAAGUUAUUUGCCAUCUGUGUGCUUGUGCUGAGGUGCGAGAUGUUACUGAAUUUCCCGGAAAUUGGUGUUUGGUCUCCGUAGGUUUUCACAAACUUUACAAAAUUUUUCAUCAAUUAGCUCAAAGCCCUGCCUUGUUAUUGUCAGUCAGUGAGACUCUUUUGCACUUGUAAUUAAGUAACAAAUGAGCUGCACUUCAAUUCUCAUUUCACAGAUAUCUCAUCCAGCCAAGAAAUACCGAAGGGAACCCUAAGCUUAUUUUGCGAAGUAUUUACUGUUAACUAGACCGUGUCCCCGUGCUUCGAGAAUUGCACAGAAAUUUCAUUACCAUUAAAAUCAGAUAACUUGAGCACCAUUAUGAAUGCCCUAGUCAAAACUGUCACUUUUAUUGUUUCCGUUCUCUACCGGAUUACAGCCAGCAGUGUGCAUCUGUACAGCGACCGUAGUGUGCACCAUUUGGACAGGAUCGUAGGUAGAAUACGCUGUCAUCGAAGUCGAAACAUACUGGUAGGAAGACAUCUUGGUGCUCCUGUGUUGUUUAGCAGUGCUAAUCUGUUUGCUCCAGCAGUGCAGCACGAAGCUGACACACUCCCACUUAGAAGGGCUAAAGCCUUUAUGAUUACUUCGCCCUCCCUUGUCUCUCCAGCGUGUGCAGCUUCUGCUUCUGGCCACACGAUGACAGUGGGGGAAACUGCUAGCGGCCAGGGCAGCUCCAGGUGUAAUUGCUCCAGCAGAGACUCAGUGACUCAAUGUUUAUUUCCACUUUCACUGUUCAGAGUUACAGCUCUGCAGGUCUGCUGCAUCAGCCCUUGUUAUAGCCAUUAUUUUGUAUUAAAUGAAACCAACUCCAACUUCCAACUCUGACUUCCUACCCUUUUCGGUUCGCCGAAUCGAUCUCGCCCCGGGCUCUGGGCUGUGCCUUCACAGCGCGUGUGCACAGGCAGGUGCCAGCGAGCGCUCCGAAACAGAGGGGGAAAGUGGGGACACUGGCCGCCCCCUGAUUUCCACGCAGCACUGUGACCCGUGACCCGCGCUCCCCGACUGGGGUGUUCUGACCCGGCUGGUCUCAGUGGAGCGGGACCGCGCAGGGACCGACGCCCUGUCCCCUUCUCGGGUCAGAAGUCAGCUUCUGCAGAACCCUGAACCGAACCCCACCAGGCCGUGCCACAUUUCAGACAGUUCAGCUGCUUCCGCGAUCGGAAUCACCCUUGGAUGUGCGAUUUAAUUUUCUCCUAGGAUCUGGAACGCAAAGCGCCUAGUGCCUAGUAUUAGUGAAAGAAUGAAGAGGAAACUAAGUUUCUAUUUUCAGCCUUUUUGCUGUUUCAAGAAAAACUAAACAUCCAUCUUCCCUUGGAGCUAAUUUGCGUGUGCAUGUGUUACAGUGAAACCGCCCUCUAUAUUUUAACUUAUAACUGUGUCAGACUUAAAGACUUAAAGUUAGGAAUAAAUCCUAGAAUAUAUUAAAAAUUAGCUUUUAAAACUGAAUAUAAAAACUGCUUAUUUCGGAAUUACACUGGGAUUAGAAGGCUCAGGAGGUUAACGGAUG